rnacentral:lncRNA from 13 species
GUGUUCCAGUAGACAGCAGGACAUCAAUUACAGAUGUGAAGCAUGCUCACAGGCAUAUGGGUCUUAUGUUAGCAGCCUGUUCAAAGAAUUAAGAAGUGAGGAUCCAAGACAGCCCAGAUGUUACAAAUUUCUAUCAGUGGUCACUGCAGCAUGAAAUCUCAUGUGAAUUUCACUUCUUGCAAUUCUUCAAGGAUCAAGGCAGGAGAGGUGCAGGCAAUUCCCAUGCUGGCAAAUGAAGAACCAUUGCUUCUUCAGGGAUUUUCUUCAUGUCUGGGAAGGUAAUGUGCUAUUUCUGUAGGAAACAUCUGCAUAAUUUUUCCCUUAUGUUUCACAUAAAUA